rnacentral:rRNA from 1 species
UACGUAGGGGGCAAGCGUUGUCCGGAAUCAUUGGGCGUAAGGAGCGCGUAGGCGGUCCGGUAAGUCCGCUCUGAAAGUCCGGGGCUCAACCCCGGGAGGCGGGCGGAUACUGUCGGGCUAGAGUCCGGAAGAGGCGAGUGGAAUUCCUGGUGUAGCGGUGAAAUGCGCAGAUAUCAGGGGGAACACCAAUGGCGAAGGCAGCUCGCUGGGACGGUACUGACGCUGAGGCGCGAAAGCGUGGGGAGCAAACAGG